rnacentral:rRNA from 1 species
GAUGAACGCUGACAGAAUGCUUAACACACGCAAGUCGAUUCGAUUUACCUUCGGGUAUUGAGGAUGGCGGACGGGUGAGUAACGCGUAAGGAACUUGCCUCUUGGUCUGGGACAACUGUUGGAAACGACAGCUAAUACCGGAUAUUAUGAGAUUCUCGCAUGGGAAACUUAUGAAAGCUAUAUGCGCCAAGAGAGAGCCUUGCGUUCCAUUAGCUAGUUGGUGGGGUAACGGCCCACCAAGGCGACGAUGGAUAGCCGGCCUGAGAGGGUGAACGGCCACAAGGGGACUGAGACACGGCCCUUACUCCUACGGGAGGCAGCAGUGGGGAAUAUUGGACAAUGGGCCACAAGCCUGAUCCAGCAAUUCUGUGUGCACGAUGAAGGUCUUCGGAUUGUAAAGUGCUUUCAGUUGGGAAGAAGAAAGUGACGGUACCAACAGAAGAAGCGACGGCUAAAUACGUGCCAGCAGCCGCGGUAAUACGUAUGUCGCAAGCGUUAUCCGGAUUUAUUGGGCGUAAAGCGCGUCUAGGCGGAAAAAUAAGUCUGAUGUUAAAAUGCGGGGCUCAACUCCGUAUUGCGUUGGAAACUGUUUUUCUAGAGUACUGGAGAGGUGGGCGGAACUACAAGUGUAGAGGUGAAAUUCGUAGAUAUUUGUAGGAAUGCCGAUGGAGAAGUCAGCUCACUGGACAGAUACUGACGCUAAAGCGCGAAAGCGUGGGGAGCAAACAGGAUUAGAUACCCUGGUAGUCCNC